rnacentral:rRNA from 1 species
AUUGAACGCUGGCGGCAGGCCUAACACAUGCAAGUCGAACGGUAACAGGAAGACGCUUGCUUCUUUGCUGACGAGUGGCGGACGGGUGAGUAAUGUCUGGGAAACUGCCUGAUGGAGGGGGAUAACUACUGGAAACGGUAGCUAAUACCGCAUAACGUCGCAAGCCCAAAGAGGGGGACCUUCGGGCCUCUUGCCAUCGGAUGUGCCCAGAUGGGAUUAGCUAGUAGGUGGGGUAACGGCUCACCUAGGCGACGAUCCCUAGCUGGUCUGAGAGGAUGACCAGCCACACUGGAACUGAGACACGGUCCAGACUCCUACGGGAGGCAGCAGUGGGGAAUAUUGCACAAUGGGCGCAAGCCUGAUGCAGCCAUGCCGCGUGUAUAAAGAAGGCCUUCGGGUUGUAAAGUACUUUCAGCGGGGAGGAAGGGAGUAAAGUUAAUACCUUUGCUCAUUGACGUUACCCGCAGAAGAAGCACCGGCUAACUCCGUG